rnacentral:rRNA from 1 species
GGCGAACGGGUGAGUAACACGUGAGUAACCUGCCCUUAACUCUGGGAUAAGCCUGGGAAACUGGGUCUAAUACCGGAUAUGACUCCUCAUCGCAUGGUGGGGGGUGGAAAGCUUUUUGUGGUUUUGGAUGGACUCGCGGCCUAUCAGCUUGUUGGUGAGGUAAUGGCUUACCAAGGCGACGACGGGUAGCCAGCCUGAGAGGGUGACCGGCCACACUGGGACUGAGACACGGCCCAGACUCCUACGGGAGGCAGCAGUGGGGAAUAUUGCACAAUGGGCGCAAGCCUGAUGCAGCGACGCCGCGUGAGGGAUGACGGCCUUCGGGUUGUAAACCUCUUUCAGUAGGGAAGAAGCGAAAGUGACGGUACCUGCAGAAGAAGCGCCGGCUAACAACGUGCCAGCAGCCGCGGUAAUACGUAGGGCGCAAGCGUUAUCCGGAAUUAUUGGGCGUAAAGAGCUCGUAGGCGGUUUGUCGCGUCUGCCGUGAAAGUCCGGGGCUCAACUCCGGAUCUGCGGUGGGUACGGGCAGACUAGAGUGAUGUAGGGGAGACUGGAAUUCCUGGUGUAGCGGUGAAAUGCGCAGAUAUCAGGAGGAACACCGAUGGCGAAGGCAGGUCUCUGGGCAUUAACUGACGCUGAGGAGCGAAAGCAUGGGGAGCGAACAGGAUUAGAUACCCUGGUAGUCCAUGCCGUAAACGUUGGGCACUAGGUGUGGGGGACAUUCCACGUUUUCCGCGCCGUAGCUAACGCAUUAAGUGCCCCGCCUGGGGAGUACGGCCGCAAGGCUAAAACUCAAAGGAAUUGACGG